GGUUAAGUUAGAAAGGGCGCACGGUGGAUGCCUUGGCACUAGGAGCCGAAGAAGGACGGGACUAACACCGAUAUGCUUUGGGGAGCUGUACGUAAGCGUUGAUCCAGAGAUUUCCGAAUGGGGGAACCCACUAUCUUUAGUCGGAUAGUAUCCUUACGUGAAUACAUAGCGUAAGGAAGGCAGACCCAGGGAACUGAAACAUCUAAGUACCUGGAGGAAGAGAAAGAAAAAUCGAUUUCCUGAGUAGCGGCGAGCGAAACGGAAAGAGCCCAAACCAAGAAGCUUGCUUCUUGGGGUUGUAGGACACUCUAUACGGAGUUACAAAAGAAAGUUA
rnacentral:rRNA from 1 species